rnacentral:rRNA from 1 species
GAGGCAGCAGUGGGGAAUAUUGCGCAAUGGGGGAAACCCUGACGCAGCAACGCCGCGUGAGCGAAGAAGGCCUUCGGGUCGUAAAGCUCUGUGAUAAGGGAAGAAGAAGUGACAGUACCUUAAGAGGAAGCCCCGGCUAACUACGUGCCAGCAGCCGCGGUAAUACGUAGGGGGCGAGCGUUGUCCGGAAUUACUGGGCGUAAAGGGUGCGUAGGCGGCCAAAUAAGUCAGAUGUGAAAGUCCAAGGCUCAACCAUGGAAUAGCAUUUGAAACUGUAUGGCUUGAGUGCAGGAGAGGAGAGCGGAAUUCCUAGUGUAGCGGUGAAAUGCGUAGAGAUUAGGAAGAACACCAGUGGCGAAGGCGGCUCUCUGGACUGUAACUGACGCUGAGGCACGAAAGCGUGGGUAGCGAACAGGAUUAGAUACCCUGGUAGUCCACGCCGUAAACGAUGAGUGCUAGGUGUCGGGAGGAAUCUCGGCGCCGGAGUUAACACAAUAAGCACUCCGCCUGGGGA